CUGGAAUGGCUUAUGGUCUAAACAGUUUACUGCCAUGGGAUGGGACUGCGGCCUAUCAGCUUGUUGGUGAGGUAAUGGCCCACCAAGGCUAUAACAGGUACGGGCUCUGAGAGGAGAAGCCCGGAUAUGGGUACUGAGACACGGACCCAGGCCCUAUGGGGCGCAGCAGGCGAGAAACCUUAGCAAUGUGCGAAAGCACGACUGGGUCAGUCCGAGUGAUUCCUGAUAAAGGAGUCUUUUAUCUGUCCUAAAAGCACAGGUGAAUAAGGGGUGGGCAAGUCUGGUGUCAGCCGCCGCGGUAAUACCAGCACCUCGAGUGGUCAGGACGUUUAUUGGGCCUAAAGCAUCCGUAGCCGGCUUUGCAAGUCUUCGGUUAAAUCCACCUGCUCAACAGAUGGGCUGCUGGAGAUACUACAAAGCUAGGGAGUGGGAGAGGCAGACGGUAUUCAGUGGGUAGGGGUAAAAUCCUCUGAUCCAUCGAGGACCACCAGUGGCGAAGGCGGUCUGCCAGAACACGUUCGACGGUGAGGGAUGAAAGCUGGGGGAGCAAACCGGAUUAGAUACCCGGGUAGUCCCAGCUGUAAACGAUGCAAACUCGGUGAUGCAUUGGCUUAUGGCCAAUGCAGUGCCGCAGGGAAGCCGUUAAGUUUGCCGCCUGGGAAGUACGGACGCAAGUCUGAAACUUAAAGGAAUUGGCGGGGGAGCACCACAAGGGGUGAAGCCUGCGGUUCAAUUGGACUCAACGCCGGU
rnacentral:rRNA from 1 species